AUCCAGCUGAAGAGUCCCAGAUAAAACGGAACGCGCGUCCUGAAU
rnacentral:hammerhead_ribozyme from 1 species